rnacentral:rRNA from 2 species
UUAAAUUGAAGAGUUUGAUCAUGGCUCAGAUUGAACGCUGGCGGCAGGCCUAACACAUGCAAGUCGAGCGGAAACGAGUUAACUGAACCUUCGGGGGACG